rnacentral:tRNA from 1 species
GCCUUCGUGGUAUAGUGGUCAGCACUCUCGAUGUGUAACCGAGAGGUCCGUAGUUCGAGUCCCGGUGAAGACA